rnacentral:rRNA from 1 species
GCUGGAGGUAUCAGAAGUGCGAAUGCUGACAUAAGUAACGAUAAAGCGGGUGAAAAGCCCGCUCGCCGGAAGACCAAGGGUUCCUGUCCAACGUUAAUCGGGGCAGGGUGAGUCGACCCCUAAGGCGAGGCCGAAAGGCGUAGUCGAUGGGAAACGGGUUAAUAUUCCCGUACUUGGUGUUACUGCGAAGGGGGGACGGAGAAGGCUAUGUUGGCCGGGCGACGGUUGUCCCGGUUUAAGCGUGUAGGUGUGUGUUCCAGGUAAAUCCGGUUCACUUUAACACUGAGGCGUGACGACGAGGCACUACGGUGCUGAAGCAACAAAUGCCCUGCUUCCAGGAAAAGCCUCUAAGCAUCAGGUAACAUCAAAUCGUACCCCAAACCGACACAGGUGGUCAGGUAGAGAAUACCAAGGCGCUUGAGAGAACUCGGGUGAAGGAACUAGGCAAAAUGGUGCCGUAACUUCGGGAGAAGGCACGCUGACACGUAGGUGAAGUGAUUUACUCAUGGAGCUGAAGUCAGUCGAAGAUACCAGCUGGCUGCAACUGUUUAUUAAAAACACAGCACUGUGCAAACACGAAAGUGGACGUAUACGGUGUGACGCCUGCCCGGUGCCGGAAGGUUAAUUGAUGGGGUCAGCGCAAGCGAAGCUCCUGAUCGAAGCCCCGGUAAACGGCGGCCGUAACUAUAACGGUCCUAAGGUAGCGAAAUUCCUUGUCGGGUAAGUUCCGACCUGCACGAAUGGCGUAAUGAUGGCCAGGCUGUCUCCACCCGAGACUCAGUGAAAUUGAACUCGCUGUGAAGAUGCAGUGUACCCGCGGCAAGACGGAAAGACCCCGUGAACCUUUACUAUAGCUUGACACUGAACAUUGAGCCUUGAUGUGUAGGAUAGGUGGGAGGCUUUGAAGUGUGGACGCCAGUCUGCAUGGAGCCGACCUUGAAAUACCACCCUUUAAUGUUUGAUGUUCUAACGUGGACCCGUAAUCCGGGUUGCGGACAGUGUCUGGUGGGUAGUUUGACUGGGGCGGUCUCCUCCUAAAGAGUAACGGAGGAGCACGAAGGUUGGCUAAUCCUGGUCGGACAUCAGGAGGUUAGUGCAAUGGCAUAAGCCAGCUUGACUGCGAGCGUGACGGCGCGAGCAGGUGCGAAAGCAGGUCAUAGUGAUCCGGUGGUUCUGAAUGGAAGGGCCAUCGCUCAACGGAUAAAAGGUACUCCGGGGAUAACAGGCUGAUACCGCCCAAGAGUUCAUAUCGACGGCGGUGUUUGGCACCUCGAUGUCGGCUCAUCACAUCCUGGGGCUGAAGUAGGUCCCAAGGGUAUGGCUGUUCGCCAUUUAAAGUGGUACGCGAGCUGGGUUUAGAACGUCGUGAGACAGUUCGGUCCCUAUCUGCCGUGGGCGCUGGAGAACUGAGGGGGGCUGCUCCUAGUACGAGAGGACCGGAGUGGACGCAUCACUGGUGUUCGGGUUGUCAUGCCAAUGGCACUGCCCGGUAGCUAAAUGCGGAAGAGAUAAGUGCUGAAAGCAUCUAAGCACGAAACUUGCCCCGA